rnacentral:lncRNA from 1 species
UCAGACCUGGCUGCCAUCUCUCGGGAGGAGCCAGUCACCCCCACGCAGGAAGCUGAUGGCCUUUCUAAAGAGAGGGCUUCCCAGUCACGGCCUCCAGGAGUCUCAGCUGCCUCUCAGCCUUCCCACCCUCGGACGCCUCAGGGUCCUGUGGCUUCUAGCUGGGUGACCAGACCUAGGCCCCAAAGCUGAGUGUGGGGGAGUGGGUGCUAUCAGUGAGGGCCUUUGUGGUGGAGAACUGCAGGCCUGGCCUUGAAGCCUUCUUUGGGUCAUUCUUCCAUUGACCCGUCAAAGUCACUAAGCCCUACUUAUCCCUUCUCUGCAAUGUUUCUCUGGCCACGGGAAGCUGCCUGCGUGACAUCACCUUUGCAGCACUCAUUAGCACCUGCUGCAUGCCAGCCACUUCGCAGGCCUCGCCUCAUCCAGCAAUCACAACAGCCCCAUUUAGCAGCUCAGAAGGCUGAGGUUUAGAGAGGUGAAUCAACUUGCCAAAGGUCACCCAGCACAUGCUGUUGUUCUGAGCCACUGUGCUGCUCUGCCUCACACUGCGGGAGGGUGAGGCCUCCUGCCGGCAGCUGUGCUUUUCUGUUGGUUCUAGCCAUUGGUAUCCUUGGGCCUGGCUCUCCAGGGACAAACACUCAGGGUAGGUUCAUAAAGAUAUGUCAGGCAAAAACUCCUAAGAGGCCCCUUAUAAUUUUAUAAAAUUGAAAUCUCAUUAUAAAGCUCUUACAGGGGAAGCCCAGGGUAGGAUCUGGGGGAACUGGGAGGCUGGCAGGGGCUGUGGCUGGCCCCCAAAGUGCAUUCUGGCCCUGUCCGCUGAGAUGUGCGUGUUUUGGGGGAAACAGACCCCAGGCUGGGGGCAGCCCUGACAGGUCUAAGGCAGACUUUCUCAACCUUGGCACUUAGGGCCAUAAUUCUUUGUUGUGAGGCUGUCCUGUGCAUUGUAGGAUGUUUGACAGCAUCCCUGGCCUCUACCCAUGAGAUGCCAGUAGCAUCACCCCAGUUGUGACAACCAUAAAUGUCUCCAAACAUGGCCAACUGUCACCUGGAAGACAAACUCAUGCUCAGUUGAGAACCACUGGUCUAAGAGUAAUCCCAUCCCUUCCCAAUUAGUGGUUCAGGAAUAGGCACGUGACCCAAUCCUGUUGAAUGGGUCAUGAGGAAAGGCCUGCUAGUAAGUUCUUAGCACCUUCUCAUUGGUGUCAGAGAGCUAAGGGGAGCAGGCUGUCACUCUUCCACUGGAUGUGAACAAGGAAGCACACACCCUGACGGCCACUGGCAGCCAUCUUGUGACCAUGAGGAUAUUCGCAGCUAAUGCUGUGGACAGAGGAAGCCUCACCCUGAUGUCACUGUUGGCAAGCUGAAUCAGCCAGCUCUGAAGAGGGCCUAGACUUUGAACCAUUUCUUUUCUCUUCUUUUUUUUUUUUUUUUUGAGACCGAGUUUCGCUCUUGUUGCCCAGGCUGGAGUGCAAUGGUGCAAUCUUGGCUCAUCACAACCUCCACCUCCUGGGGCAGGAGAAUGGCGUGAACCCAGGAGGUGGAGCUUGCAGUGAGCCGAGAUCGCGCCACUGCACUCCAGCCUGGGUGAAAGAGCAAGACUCCGUCUCAAAAAAAAAAAAAAAAAAAAAAGCACCUUGAGAAAAUUUCUACUUGUGGAUCUCUGUACACCGUCCCCAUUUUGUUUAUUAAGUCUAUGGUCCCGUCCUGUGGGCCCCAGAGAAUAGUCUGUAGCAUUUUUUAUAAGGACAUUGAUCCACCUCCCCAAAUGACAGCCCCAUAGUUACUAGAUCGUUCUGUCUAGAAUGUAUGCUGCCUUCCUUCUGCAUACGCAUCAAGCCUGGGCUUCCCAGACCAAGGCUGUAUGAGGGAGGUGGGGACCUGGAGCCCAGUCAUUCCAGGGCCAAUCGCUUCCUUCUGUCAUCUGGUACGGCCAGGAAUAGAGGAAUUCUAAGCAUCCCUGGUGACUGAGCUCAUAUAGAAAGAGGUUGUGCCUUAACCACCCCGAGGAACAAGGUGUACAGGGACAGUCUUUUUAAAAAAUCUUGUUUGGGUGGUGGGAUGGGGGUGGGGCGAUUUCUGGUAAAAACUGGAAAACCUGCUAAAUGAAUGCUUUUUUUUUUUUUUUUUUGAGUCAAAGUCUCACUCUGUCACCCAGGCUGGAGUGCAGUGACACAAUCUCGGCUCACUGCAACCUCUGCCUCCCAGGUUCAAGUGAUUCUCCUGCCUCAGCCUCCCGAGUAGCUGGGAUUACACGCAUGUGCCAACACGCCCAGCUAAUUUUUGUAUUUUUAGUAGAGACGGGGUUUCAUCAUGUUAGCCAGGCUGGUCUCGAACUCCCAACCUCAGGUGAUCUGCCCACCUUGGGAUUUGCCUCCCAAAGUGUUGGGAUUAUAGGCGUGAGCCAGUACGCCCAGCCUAACAAAUUCUAAAAGAGCUGUAACACUGACAGUCUCUUCAUGGUCCCAGUUAUUUCCAAAAGGGCACGUUCUGCUCUGGUUCCUUCUGGUGGGUUAGCAACAGGGCAGAUCCACUAGAAUACAGCUCUCAAAAUCUACUGCACAUGGACUCACCCAAAGUGCUUUACAAAAAUCCUGAUCCCAGGCCACAUUCCAGAUCACUUACAUUUGAACCUCAGGUCCAAACUCAGGCAUCAGCAUUUAAAACAUUCCUCAGGUGACUCCCAACAUGCAGCUGAUUUGCCAGCCAGCCCUCUGCAGUCUGGAUCAAAGGUUCUCAACAUGAGGUCCCUGAACCAGCGGCUGCUUUGCUAAGAACUGGGAACUUGUGGGAAAGGCAGCGUCUCAGACCCCACCCCAGAUCUACUGAAUCAGAAACUCUGGGGGUGGGGCCAGCACUUUGUUUCAACAAGCCCUCCAGGAGACUCUGAGGCACUAGUCUGGUCCAGUGGGUCUCAAACUUGACUGCAACAAAUGGCCCAGAGAUCUUUUUGAAGUGUAGAGUCUGACUCAGCAGGUGUGGGUGGAGCUGAGAGGCCAGCAAGAUCCCAGGUGGGGCCGAGGCUGCUCAUCCUCCUACCACAUUUUGAGUAGCAAGGAGCUACCAAGAGCAGCCGACGGGGUUUCAUUCUCGUCUACUGGAAGCAACCUUAAUAGACAACUGAAAAACAAAACAAAACAACUGAGAUACCUGUUUCUGCCAGAAAACCCAGGCCAUUCACUGGUCAGCUGUUCCAAAACCAGAGUUAAGCUACUGCAGCUGUUCCCGCGUGCCUGCCUGCAUUCCAGUAAAUAAUCCCACGUGGCAAGUCAGCUCACCUGGUUACUGCCAAAGCAUGUUCCCAGCUGGUGUGACUCAGAGGCACACCAGAAUUUCUUUAUUAUAAUUUGGCGAUAGGGUCUUGCUUUGCCACGCAGGCUGGAGUGCCGUGGUCCGAUCACAGUUCACUACAGCCUUGAACUCCUGGGCUCAAGUGAUCUUCCUGCCUUAGACUCCCAAGUAGCUGAGAUUAUAGGCACACGCCACCACACCCAGCUAAUUUAAAAAUAUUUUUGUAGAGACCAGGUCUCACUAUGUUGCCUGGUUUGGUAUCAAACUCCUGGCCUUAAGGGAUCCUCCUGCCUCGGCCUCCCAAAGUGCCAGGAUUAUAGGUGUGAGCCAUCAUGCCCAGCCAGAGCACCAGAAAUAGCUCCCAACUGUAGAAGGAGCCUCCCUGUAGCGCUGUUGGCUCCCUCCUUCCUGUGGAGUCUCCACAGCAGUCCCUCCCCACCAUGAGGCCAGAGAGGCUAACAGCUUUGCUG